rnacentral:rRNA from 1 species
GCGAACGGGUGAGUAAUACAUCGGAACGUGCCCGAUCGUGGGGGAUAACGAAGCGAAAGCUUUGCUAAUACCGCAUACGAUCUACGGAUGAAAGCAGGGGACCGCAAGGCCUUGCGCGAACGGAGCGGCCGAUGGCAGAUUAGGUAGUUGGUGGGAUAAAAGCUUACCAAGCCGACGAUCUGUAGCUGGUCUGAGAGGACGACCAGCCACACUGGGACUGAGACACGGCCCAGACUCCUACGGGAGGCAGCAGUGGGGAAUUUUGGACAAUGGGCGAAAGCCUGAUCCAGCCAUGCCGCGUGCAGGAUGAAGGCCUUCGGGUUGUAAACUGCUUUUGUACGGAACGAAAAGACUCUGGUUAAUACCUGGGGUCCAUGACGGUACCGUAAGAAUAAGCACCGGCUAACUACGUGCCAGCAGCCGCGGUAAUACGUAGGGUGCAAGCGUUAAUCGGAAUUACUGGGCGUAAAGCGUGCGCAGGCGGUUAUAUAAGACAGAUGUGAAAUCCCCGGGCUCAACCUGGGAACUGCAUUUGUGACUGUAUAGCUAGAGUACGGCAGAGGGGGAUGGAAUUCCGCGUGUAGCAGUGAAAUGCGUAGAUAUGCGGAGGAACACCGAUGGCGAAGGCAAUCCCCUGGGCCUGUACUGACGCUCAUGCACGAAAGCGUGGGGAGCAAACA